UGGGGAAUAUUGGACAAUGGGCGAAAGCCUGAUCCAGCCAUGCCGCGUGUGUGAAGAAGGACUUCGGAUUGUAAAGCACUAUAAGUUGGGAGGAAGGGCAGUAAGCGAAUACCUUGCUGUUUUGACGUUACCGACAGAAUAAGCACCGGCUAACUCUGUGCCAGCAGCCGCGGUAAUACAGAGGGUGCAAGCGUUAAUCGGAAUUACUGGGCGUAAAGCGCGCGUAGGUGGUUCGUUAAGUUGAAUGUGAAAGCCCCGGGCUCAACCUUGGAACUGCAUCCAAAACUGGCGAGCUAGAGUAGGGCAGAGGGUGGUGGAAUUUCCUGUGUAGCGGUGAAAUGCGUAGAUAUAGGAAGGAACACCAGUGGCGAAGGCGACCACCUGGGCUCAUACUGACACUGAGGUGCGAAAGCGUGGGGAGCAAACAGG
rnacentral:rRNA from 1 species